GAACUGGAUGACGGUUGAACAAAUAAUUAUUAUUUUAAAUAAUUUAUUUAAAUUUAUAUUCUAUGUAAAAAUACAUAGAUACAUAAAGGGACGAUAAGACCCUAGAAGCUUUAUUGGUAUAUUCUUAUUAUUGUUAAUAGUAUUAGAUAUAAGUUUUUUGGCUGGGGUAGUUGUUUUUGUAACAAAUAUUUUUAUUUACAUAUAGGAUGAAAGGUCCUUUAUAUAAGGGAAAAUAGUAAAAGUUACUUUAGGGAUAACAGCAUAAUAAUUAUGAAAAGAUCGUAUUUAUAUAAUUGAUUGUGACCUCGAUGUUGAAUUAAAAUUAUCUUUAUGGAGCAGAAAUUAUAUAAGAGAGUUUGUUCAACUUUUAAAUUUUUACAUGAUUUGAGUUCAAAUCGGUUUGAGCCAGGUUGGUUUUCUAUCUAA
rnacentral:rRNA from 1 species